rnacentral:rRNA from 1 species
CCUACGGGGGGCAGCAGUGGGGGAUAUUGCACAAUGGGGGCAACCCUGAUGCAGCGACGCCGCGUGGGUGAAGGCGUGCUUCGGCAUGUAAAGCCCUAUCGGCAGGGAAGACGCAAGACGGUACCUGACUAAGAAGCCCAGGCCAACUACGUGCCAGCAGCCGCGGUAAUACGUAGGGGGCGAGCGUUAUCCGGAUUCACUGGGUGUAAAGGGAGAGUAGACGGGCAUGCAAGCCAGGGGUGAAAGCUUGGGGCCCAACCCCGGGACUGCCCGUGGAACUGUUCGGCUAGAGAGUGGUAGGGGUAGACGGAAUGUAUGGUGUAGCGGUGAAAUGCUUAGAGAUCAUGCAGAACACCGGUUGCGAAGGCAGCUUACCAAGCUACUACUGACGUUGAGGCACGAAAGCGUGGGGAGCAAACAGGAUUAGAUACCCGAGUAGUC